AUCAUAUUGUGAAGAUCGGAACUUCUGUUGAUUAUGGAGUUUGCAGAGGGAAAAGGAAGGUUCUUUUUGUUCUGUGCAUGUUAGUUUUGUUGAAAUUGUUGAUGAUUCAUUGUAGGACUUGUAACCCUUUAUAUAUUUCUAUUACUGUAUAUACAUUAGCAAGUACAUAUUUUAAGUUAUACUUCUUUCAGGGAUUUAGAUGAUAAAAUUUGUAUGUCAAACUUAGUUCUGCAUGUUAUUAAAACUGUGAUAUUACCUACAGCAAGAGUAUAUAUGCCAUUGUCAUUUAGAAAAUUUUGGACUUGCAGAUUACAGAGAUUUUCUCAUGACUUGUGAAAUUUUUUUUUCUACUGGUUUUUAGUCCAUAAAUAUAUCUGCAGGUCUUAUUGUGUCUAUUGAAUCGUUGACUAAAUGAAUUUGAAAAAUAGGGAAGAGCCAAUUUUGCUGAAUAUGAUGAUGCAUGUUUUGGUCUCAAAAGACACUAGCUGAUCACUUUGAUGGAAAUAAAACAAAAAUGGAGUUGCGCAUUUCUAUUGUUCUGAUGUAAUUUUUUUUUCUAUUCUCAGUGUGGUGCUUCCAUGGAUGUCAGUGUUGGUUUGUAAAAGAGUGACUUGAGCCUUUUCAACAUAAAUGAGUGUCUUGAGCUUUUCAGCUUGUUUCUGCAUUAUGAAUGUUGUAAAUGUUACUACUCAGUUGCAGAUUGAUAGAAGAAUGAGUAAAAUAGUUAAAUUUUGUGGUAAAAUUCUAUAUGGUUGGGACCAAAUUUUGUUAAUGUGUAGCAAAAUUUUCUCCAAAGGAUUGAAUUUUUAAGCUUUCAUUAUUGUCUAUAAAAUGGAGUUGUGCAUUUCUCUUGUUCUGUGUACACACAUCUUUAUUGUAAUUGAGUUGUUGCCUAUGUUUUGGCAGUGUAUUGUAAUUGGGGAUGCAGUGGCUGGAGUUCAGGAAUGGUGAAACUACAAGAAAGUUGAAUUCAGGAUGCAGUUGCAACAGUUCCGGAAUGGUGAAGCUACAAGAAAGUUGAAUACAAGAAAGUUGUGCUUGUAGGAAACUUAGUUGUGUAUAGGAAAAACAUAUGUACAGUAGGAAACUUCAAUUGUCUCUUGUUUUUGCAUGAGUUGGAAAUAAAUACAAAAAGAGUUGGUUCUGAUAUACACUUGUGCUUUUACACUUGGUUGUGAUCUGAUAUGAACAAACUUGUUACAAAAUACAAAGUGUUGCAAAAUCAGAUCUGAACAAAGAAGUUCCUAUAUACAAACUUGCUACUCUGAUAUGAACAAACAUGUCCCAAAUUACCAACUUCAUCUGAACUGAACAAACAUGUUCCAAACAGCAAAAUACAUCUGAUCUGAACAAACUUGGUUCUACUACUUUGUACACAAAAUUUGUACAUCUUUACAGAUUGAUGAUUAAUUCACAGAAACAGCAACAAUCAAUAGUCCUUACAUAUUAUCUGCAAAACAAAGCAAGCAAUA
rnacentral:lncRNA from 1 species